CUCUGUAGGACUCUAGCUAACCUCCCACACACACUGUUUUCUUCCCUGCCAACUAAUUCCUGCCCUUAACUUUCUUAGGUGUCAGUACAGCACCUAUUAUUCAUGGCUUCAUUGACAUUUCUUCUCAAUCCCCAAAGCUGGUGGUGACUCAUCCUCUCCUGUCACCGAAGGGCAUCACUGGGCUGUGUACAAUGCACCACAUGAAAUCCAUGCUAGCUCUUUUCUGAUGC
rnacentral:lncRNA from 1 species